rnacentral:tRNA from 1 species
GGCCUGUUGGCCCAAUGGCAAGGCGUGAGACUUCGAAUCCGAAGAUUAUCUUGAGAUUGCAGGUUCGACCCCUGCACAGGUCG